rnacentral:rRNA from 1 species
UGGGGAAUAUUGCACAAUGGGCGCAAGCCUGAUGCAGCAACGCCGCGUGAACGAUGAAGGUCUUCGGAUCGUAAAGUUCUGUUGCAGGGGAAGAUAAUGACGGUACCCUGUGAGGAAGCCCCGGCUAACUACGUGCCAGCAGCCGCGGUAAUACGUAGGGGGCUAGCGUUAUCCGGAUUUACUGGGCGUAAAGGGUGCGUAGGUGGUCUUUCAAGUCGGUGGUUAAAGGCUACGGCUCAACCGUAGUUAGCCUCCGAAACUGGAAGACUUGAGUGCAGGAGAGGAAAGUGGAAUUCCCAGUGUAGCGGUGAAAUGCGUAGAUAUUGGGAGGAACACCAGUGGCGAAGGCGGCUAUCUGGACAGUAACUGACGCUGAGGCGCGAAAGCGUGGGUAGCAAACAGG